AACCACACCUGGCUUAAAACAGUCAUUUUAAGGGCAAGGCUUAUCCAUUGCACUCUGGAUGUGCUGACUCCUUCAUUUUCCCCAAAUUCAGGAAACUCGACUGCAUUUGUAAUAGUAGGGGACUGUGUUCACUCUCCCCUG
rnacentral:snRNA from 1 species